UACGAAGGGGGCGAGCGUUGUUCGGAUUUACUGGGCGUAAAGGGCGCGCAGGCGGCUCAUUUUGUCAGGCGUGAAAUCCCUCGGCUUAACCGGGGAACUGCGUCCGAUACUGGAUGGCUUGAGUGUGGGAGAGGGAUGCGGAAUUCCAGGUGUAGCGGUGAAAUGCGUAGAUAUCUGGAGGAACACCGGUGGCGAAGGCGGCAUACUGGUCCACUUCUGACGCUGAGGCGCGAAAGCCAGGGGAGCAAACGGG
rnacentral:rRNA from 1 species